rnacentral:lncRNA from 1 species
GAAGAAGCGGAAGAACAAGGGAGGUGCCUUCAUCUACGGAAACUACAGGAACUACUACGGCUACCGAGUGAGUUGAACCGCGCUUCUCCCCUCCACUCUGUGGCCUCUCUCUAACAAACGGUGAAUCGUCAUUGUGUUGUGCAUGCCGUGUAGUUAUUUGGUGAAAUGAUUUGCUGGAGAUUGCUAUGUUCCUGGGACUGGGAUGGUUUAUACGGACUAGGAUUCUUAGCUGAAAGCGGUGGAGCUUUUGCUUAGGACGCGCCCUAACUAUUUGAUGAAAUGCGCUAAUAGGUUUCUGCGUUGAUUUGUGUCUCAGAGCUUGCAGAACUUGAGUUUUGCAACGAGGGCCCGUGGUUCCUUUUUUUUUUGUAUUGAAUGGAAACUGGAGUGAGAUGAAUAUACUUGUUUUAUUUGAUUCUAGUUUGUGGUAGGCCAGCAUAUACGUUAUCUGUCGGGUAUUUUGGUGUUAAAUUGCCGCUUUUACGCCAUAGCAUUAGUUCAUCAUUUCAUUGGUUUAGACAAUCCAACCAUUGUGGUACUGUGUGUGACAUGGCUGUCGAAUUUCAGGGGCACAACAAUCACCACUGCUUUGAGCCUUUGACCCCAUAUUGGACAUGUAGUAUAAUUUCUGAUUAAUAAAUGCCCCAAGGUGUUGCUGUAAUGGCUAUUGGCCGAGAAGGAGUAAGCAAGCAUGGAGCCUAAUUGCACGUACUUGUUUUCACAGAUCUGCUUAUGCUAAAUUCACCUGUACAAAGGAGGCAGAUAGACGGAUAGAGGUCUAUUCAUUAGAUUGGACAUUUAAUUGUAUGCUGCACAUGAUAGUUCACUUAAUACGAUAAAAAGGCACUCGAUGGCUGGAUCAACUAAUCUUAGCUGAUAACUUCAAUCUUUUGAUGUUCAACAGAUUGAUCGUAACGUCGGUGAAGAUCCCCGCCUUGAGAUAUUCAAGAAGGAGUGGUUUGCAGGCAAGGAUUGUCUCGAUAUUGGAUGCAACCAAGGUUUGGUCACAAUCGGUAUAGGUAAUGUUCUGGGGAUAAUAAUUUGUUCUGUUUUGUUUGGUUAAUGAUCUUCCGGUCUUAUUCCCAUGUCUUUCAACUUCAAUGUUACUAGCAAUGUGCCCGUGCGUUGCAACGGAUCCAAAGUAGAAUAGUACUUGUUCACAAACUUGAAAGAAAAGACUCUUGUUUUGAUAUACAUAUAUACCACUAAAAAUAUAUUACUUUUCACUCAAAAUAUAUUUCUCGGGCUGUUUUGAUGAGGUGAGGGAGGGAUGUGAUUGCUUAUAAGAUAAUAAGGGAUUUUCUGCAAAUUGGAGCAGAGAAGUGGGCUAUUGUUGCAAAAAUUCCACAACUUACCUCACAGCCGUUAGGUGCAGAUCUAAUGGUCAGAAAUGACGGAUGACAGACACACCAUCAUCACCAACUGAGUCUUUUAUAGGAGUAGAGAUAGCUUUUGUUCUUGAAUUACCAGACUGCUGUUACUGUGCGGUUACAUGGUUUUAGUUUCUAUUGUUGAAUAUGAAAGUCUUAUCCAUAUUAACAUAAGCAUUAUUUAGCUAAUUAUUGUAAAUAUUCUUUGAUUUAUUCAUAUGGUUACGUUAGGAUAAGUUUAAUUGAGUAUGUGCCAUCUAUUGUAGGUUGCCACUUCUAAUACAGUUGAGACUACCCUACAUAAGCAUGUCAGCUACCUUUGUUAACCUAUUAUUAUUAUGGUCUGCAAUAGCAUAGUUUUCAUUUGACAACUCUUGACCGUACAAGAACUGAAUGCCAAUUAGCUGUAGCUGGACUUUUGAUUCAUUAUUCUGUGCAUUGAUGACUUAGUGACUCUUCUGACACUCAUUUGCUAGAAAUCAAUAAAUCACAAGUGACAUAUACAAUUUUUUUGGGGCAGAUGCCACAAUUGCAAGAGAGAGAUAUUGAAUGUUUUUCUCUAAAUAAAUUUCCUGUCAAACACAGUUUCUCAUCUCUAAUUUUCUUUACCUUGUGCAGCGAUGAAGUUUGAAUGUCAAAGCAUCCUUGGAGUUGACAUUGAUAAAGGUUUAAACUGUUAUUGUAAUAUUUAAUGAAGUAACAUUGUAUCAUACUGUUUGUUUUAAGAGCAUGAAGUACCUGGUAGCUGGAAUCUUUCAAAAAACAAUCUGAAUAUCUGAUUGAUGCUUGUCUCUCAGCAGCCUUUAUGUACAUUUUGUGUUUUUAUAUAUAUAAUGUUGCGCACUGAGAGCAUUAAUGCUCAUUUCUGAACAAUAUUAAGAAAAUCCAGUCCUGUUUGACCAGUUAUUGCAUAUCCCAGCUCAGUGUUGUUAGUAGUUCGUAAUUAUUGUAUUGACACAAUGCUUGUGAGGCAUGUUGUGGUUGCAAGUCUAAAGAAGUAGAAUUUGGUGGGACAUUUUUUUAAAUGGCAUAACAUCCUUGCUGAUGCCCACACCUUCCUGUUCACAAAUUCAAUGUUUUUCUAUUGAUAACUGAACCUAUCUUGAAAUUAUGAAACUCUAUAUGAGAUUUAUAAUGUUAAUUUGUUCCUUAGCAGAAUGUGCAUUUAUGACAGUCAGACUUGGAUUUCUGUAAUUUUCUGUCGUUAGAUGCAUGGUCCGUAAUUAAGUAAUAGUGUUUGACAGAUUACCAAUAAAUAUCAUCAACCAUAACUGAAUAGUCCCUUGUAGUUACGUAAUGUUUGUGUGUUCUUGGCUUGCCCAAUGUAGUAUGGUUGGCUGUGUUGGGUUUGUCAAAUGAAACUGAUUCUGAUAUUAACCUUGUAGGUUUGAUUGACCUUGCUAACUGGAAUUUAAGAAGGAUAUCUCGAACAGGCAACAUGGCUCCAGAAAGUGCGAAGGUUCAUAACUCGUCAGACUCCACAACUAAGAGCUAUCCUGAAGAAGUGGUAUCUGAAAUGCCAAAUGGAAAUAUUUCUAAGCACGAACAACCUGAUCUUUUUGAAAUCGUCUCUUUUCGAUCUGAAAAUUUUGUACAGAGCAAACACAAAUAUGCAGAACAGUAUGACACCAUCGUGUGGUAAGUUGCAAAUUUACAAGCGAGACAUAUCAGAGAUUUUUUGGUUUAUUUGUAUUAGUCACUAUCCAAAUUGAAUGUCAUCUUGAUUGGUUGUGCUUUUGUUCUCUUGCAGUUUGAGCGUGACAAAAUGGAUCCACCUGAACUGGGGUGAUGAUGGCAUAAUCACUUUGUUUGUGAAGAUAUGGAGUCUUCUAAGACCGGUAUCUAUUUCUCUUUUGCUGUCCCUAAAUUGGAUCUCUGUGGUAAGAGGAAAAACUAACAAUACCUUGUCUUCUUUCCGCUGGCUUCUCUUGUUUUGCAGGGAGGGAUUUUUAUCAUGGAGCCUCAACCUUGGACCUCGUAUAGGAAAAACAGAUUAGUGUCAGAGGUAAUUUCUGAUUGUCAGACUGAUGACUGAUGCUACAUGUUUUGUUUUUAGCUUUAGAUGGUAGUUUCAACUUUAGAGCUCUAACUCUGUGAAGGCCUGAAGGGUAGCCAUGAGUAUGUUGCAUUGAACUGUUCUUUUGGUCCCUUGCUUGUUUCAAAGCUAGAUGUACUCCUUGGUUUGAAUUGCUUCCUCGUCUUUCCUCAUUUAUGUGCUUUUCUUUCUGAAAUAAUCUUUCAUCAUUUUCGUUGGGGUCUUACUCUCACCCAACCUGCUUUUGUUUCCCCUGAUCACACAAUCUUAUGCCUCUUAGAGUGAGUAGUAACAAAAAUCCUGAUCCAUCGUUGAAACAAUUAUUUCUUCUCAAUCUUUCAUGGGGUGAAGUUAACUCACAUUGUCCUGUCCUUUUUUUCUGGUGGAUUUCAGUUUGCAAAAGAAAACUUCAAAUAUAUCUGUAUAUACCCUGAGAAAUUCCGGGAGGUACUUCUGGACAAGGUGCGUUCUAUACCGGCAACUAAUGCUAUGUUCUUUUCCAGUUCCCUGCAGCAGAAUCAUUGUAAACCAUGCAGUUGUGCUUGCAGGUAGGAUUUAGGUCAGCAGAGGUGAUUACCAACAGAUUGGUCGGAUCUGUCGCUGGUUUUGACCGCCCAAUUGAAGUUUACUACAAAUGAUGGAAUGAGAUUAACGCCUGCCUCUUGCUCAGAGGCUCAUGUGGUGCUUCGGGUGCAUAAGUUUGGUGCUGUGGGAUUCGUCGUGCUUCACCGGUGCCUUCUUUGGUACAAAUAUGAUGAUCAAGGUUUUCACAUAACGCUGGAUUAGCAGUUUGUGGAAGUGUCAUUUUCAACAAGCGCCCAAGGAAUGAUAUGGAUAGGGUGGUGGUGGUAUUAGGUACUUUUCGAUAUUUUGCCAGAGUCUAAGCGUUUGUAUAGAUGAAUUUUAGAUGGCAGAGAAAACCUUCCAGUGAUAUAAGAUUUCGCUUCCUAUGAACAGGCUAGUUUUCUCGCGCUCUUACAAUUGCAACCGCUUUAUCGUAUAUAUAAACCGGCAAAUCUUGGUUCGAUUAGAUCAGCUUUCAGAC